CUGCCCAAUGAAAAUUUAUUAAAUGGCUGCAGUAUAAAUAACUGUACUAAGGUAGCAUAAUAAUUUGUUUUUUAAUUAAAAACUAGAAUGAAAGAUUCAAUGAAAUAUAUACUUUAUUAAAAUUAAAAAUUAAAAUUUUUAUUUAAGUAAAAAAACUUAAAUAUAAUUAAAAGACAACAAGACCCUAUAAAAUUUAAUUUUAAAUUUAUAAUAAAAUUACAAUUUUAUAUUAAUAUUAAAAUUUUAUUGGGGUAAUAAAAAAAUUCACCAAACUUUUUUAAACUAAACAAUAAUUAAUGAAUAAAAUUUCUUUUUUAAAAAAUAAUAAAAUUAAUUACUUUAGGGAUAACAGCAUAA
rnacentral:rRNA from 1 species